rnacentral:tRNA from 1 species
GCUCACGGAUGGGGUUCAGUGGUAGAAUGCUCGCCUGCCAGGCGGGCGGCCCGGUUCGAUUCCCGGCCGAUGCA